UUUAACAUGGUGUGGGCAGUUCCAUUCAGUGUAUCCAUGAUUCAUAUACUUGGCUUGGAAACCGAAAAAACUUGAAAUAAAAUCUCACCAGCUAAAUUUUGUUCUUUGUGUUUAGAGAGGGAUAUCCAUGUGUAUAGGUGCCUACCCAGGCUUGUGGAGGCCAGAGGCCAACCUCAGGCAGUAUCUCUCUCAGGGACUUGGACUUGCUGAGUUGGCUAGACUGGCCAACCAGUGAGACCCAUGCUGUGUCCACCUCUGCAGCCAGUGAGACCCACACUGUGUCUACCUCCGCAGCAGUGGGAUAAGAAGCACACACCUCGGUGCCUGGCUUUCUGCAUGAGGGCUGGAGAACAACUUGAGGUCACCAUGCCUAGAUGGCAAGCACUUUACCAACUAAGAGACCGUCCCAGCCAAAUUUCUCUCCCACAAAUUUCUAUUAUAUAUAAAUGAAACAGCUCUUCAUUCACCGUGAGUGUUCUCACAACCAGAAGACAUCCCAUAGUUCUGACUCCACAUGCAAUAAUGAAUUACCCAGUGGGACCAUCAGGGCUCUGAGUAUUUGAGCUGAAACUUGGAAGUAAUGGGAAAUUUCCUUAAAGUGGUAAGAGUUUCAUCAUUAUCCUCUCGCUGCCUAGAAAUGAGUUACAGUUACCUGGAGGGAAGGAAGACGAUGAUGUAAGCCUCUGCAGAUGGGAACCUGCUUUAUUCCUUACUCGAUUUCUAACUAAACCGCCAAGAACUCAGAGAAUCUCAAGAUGAUGAUGCAUUUUCUUUAGAAAUGACUGAGCUUGCUGGGCAGUGGUGGAUCACACCUUUAAUCCCAGCACUUGGGAGGUAGAGGCAGAAAGAUUUCUGAGUUUGAAGCCAGCCUGGUCUACAGGUCUACAGAGUAAGUUCCAGUACUUCAGGGCUACAGAGAAACCCUGUCUCG
rnacentral:lncRNA from 1 species